rnacentral:lncRNA from 13 species
UAUGUGAACGGGCCUGUGCUCCGUAGCGUCGUGGUGUUUCUGCUGUUGGGUGUCUCCUACAGUAAGCGCAGGUGCAACUACACGGAUAUACUCAGCACGUACAGAGAACUAAUCUUCGUUGAACUUCAGAAUUUGGUAUGUGGGGCAUCAAAUCGUUGAAAGUGUGUUACUGUUGUUCACAAGAUCAAAGUGGCUUUAUCUCAAACAUAACUAUUAGUUGUGACUAUUAAUUUAUUAUACCUGUUAUAUUGACUAUGGAAAAUGGCAGAUGCAAAAUUCACACUUCAGAAAAACGUCUGGUACUAGCUUGAGCCUACACAAAUAUUAUGCAGGGCAAGUCUGUACAGUGGAAUACUUGUUUUUGACUGCCUUCACUGAUUUGUUAUGAAUACUAUAUCCUUUAAAAACAUGUAUAUCCCUUUAUUGUCUAACAGACAUGUAUGUUUUCUUGGAACAGAAUCUGACAGGCACUUUUGACACAUCCAAAGGGAGGGACCAUUGUCCCUCAGGAAAGCUGCAGCACGUGUUGCGCUCCAUCCAUGGUAUGACGGAGCAAUUCCUGUGUCAGGGCUGGGAUCAGGAACACGGGCGGGGCAGCAGAGAGCAGCGGGCCAUGAAGAAGCCAGUGGAGAUGAUGGCAGUGCUGAUCAGACAGAACUGCAGGCACACUGACCUGGUGAGGAAACAGAAGAGAACAGCGCUGUGUGUGACUGCCCAGAGGACGAAGGGAAAGAACAGGAAGAGGAUGAGACUCAUCAGGGCACUGAUAAACUGUUGGCAGAAGCUGCAGAGUUUGUACACACCCACAAAAUAAUUCAAAAAAAAUACGUUUUUCUUUUUUAUCAAAAUUGUUUCAAAAAAGCUUAUUUUGUAGAGUAGAAUGACAGUUCGUAUGUCAGGCAUAUGCCUCUGUUUAUGACCUUUUACUUCUUGUCUGUAUAGUCCCACACGUAUAAGCUAUAGGUCACCAUAGAUCAGGGAUGGGCCACUUUGAUGUGGGCGGGGGCCACAAAAAAACCGAACUGAUCAUGCUUACUAUAAGUUUAGAUAGCUAGCCGCUAGACUAACUUGCCAAUCUAAAAAUGUUUACCUGACUUGGGCUAAUUAAGUGACUGCUGAUGCACAACCACAUGUUGAAAUUGCACCUUGUGUAAUCUACUAUUCUUACUCUCAGCAGUAAGUUGAGACCCGACUGAGUUCCCCCCAUUAAUUAUGGUUGUUAGAGGAUGGUUUUACAAUGCAGUGAAGAUAUUUACUUGUAAUACCUUGGUGCACACACAUUUUAUAACUCUUAGCUAUCUCACAAUCCAGAUAUUGUUUUUGUGAAACCGAUAGAUACAUUUGUUGUUCUAUGAAAUGUAUUCAAGAUGCCCACUGAUAAAGGUUUCUUAAACUGCAUU